UGGGGAAUUUUGGACAAUGGGGGCAACCCUGAUCCAGCAAUGCCGCGUGUGUGAAGAAGGCCUUCGGGUUGUAAAGCACUUUUGUCCGGAAAGAAAACUUCGGGGCUAAUACCUCUGGAGGAUGACGGUACCGGAAGAAUAAGCACCGGCUAACUACGUGCCAGCAGCCGCGGUAAUACGUAGGGUGCGAGCGUUAAUCGGAAUUACUGGGCGUAAAGCGUGCGCAGGCGGUUCGCUAAGACCGAUGUGAAAUCCCCGGGCUUAACCUGGGAACUGCAUUGGUGACUGGCGGGCUAGAGUAUGGCAGAGGGGGGUAGAAUUCCACGUGUAGCAGUGAAAUGCGUAGAGAUGUGGAGGAAUACCGAUGGCGAAGGCAGCCCCCUGGGCCAAUACUGACGCUCAUGCACGAAAGCGUGGGGAGCAAACAGGAUUAGAUACCCUGGUAGUCCACGCCCUAAACGAUGUCAACUAGUUGUCGGGCCUUCAUUGGCUUGGUAACGUAGCUAACGCGUGAAGUUGACCGCCUGGGGAGUACGGUCGCAAGAUUA
rnacentral:rRNA from 1 species